rnacentral:tRNA from 1 species
AUAAAUAAGAAGGAUAAGGG